rnacentral:rRNA from 1 species
AUGAACGCUGGCGGCGUGCCUAAUACAUGCAAGUCGAGCGCACAGACGAGGAGAUUGCUCCUCUGACGUUAGCGGCGGACGGGUGAGUAACACGUGGAUAACCUACCUAUAAGACUGGGAUAACUUCGGGAAACCGGAGCUAAUACCGGAUAAUAUAUUGAACCGCAUGGUUCAAUAGUGAAAGACGGUUUUGCUGUCACUUAUAGAUGGAUCCGCGCCGCAUUAGGUAGUUGGUACGGUAACGGCUUACCAAGGCAACGAUGCGUAGCCGACCGAAGAGGUUGUUCCGCCAGAAUGGAACUGAGACACGGUACAGAGUCCUACGGGUGGCAGCAGUAGGGAAUCUUGCGCAAGGGGCGAAUGCCUGACGGAGCAACGCCGCGUGAGUGAUGAAGGUCUUCGGAUCGUAAUACUCUGUUAUUAGGGAAGAACAAAUGUGUAAGUAACUAUGCCCGUCUUGACGGUACCUAGUCAGAAAGCCACGGCUAACUAAGUG